rfam:Paenibacillus sp. FSL R7-0331, complete genome.
UGGACUAACAGAAUAAGCUCUUGUAUAAGCUCAUUAAUCCGGUUUGAGCGUUUCGACCAGGCGACCGUAAAUUGCCCCAGGCUACAAGAGGUGCAGGAAAGAAU